AUCAAUGUUCGGUCACUCGUUGCAUAUUUCCCGCUGCUCGAAUUAUUUGGUAAGUAAGUCAUAUAAGGCAGACGACAUGUUAAUAAAUAGUGUAGCAGACGUCAAACGUAGCUCUACAUCCGUUAUUUACAUAUAUCAUAUUCCUUUUCCAUCCAUAGUAAACCUUGUCCAAUCCGAAAUUGCAAUAAUACCUUUGACUGCGUAUUGUCAUGGAAACCACGCGACCAGCUCCCAAGUUAUCAACCGGACACUCCUGGUACUUCCAACCCC
rnacentral:lncRNA from 1 species